rnacentral:rRNA from 1 species
GAUGAACGCUAGCGGCAGGCUUAAUACAUGCAAGUCGAGGGGCAGCACGGUUAGCAAUAACUGGUGGCGACCGGCGCACGGGUGCGUAACACGUAUACAAUCUACCUUAAACAGGGGGAUAGCCUUUCGAAAGAGAGAUUAAUACCCCGUAAUAAAUUGAACGGCAUCGUUUGAUUUUGAAAGCUCCGGCGGUUUGAGAUGAGUAUGCGUCUGAUUAGCUAGUUGGUGAGGUAACGGCUCACCAAGGCGACGAUCAGUAGGGGAGUCUGAGAGGACUAACCCCACCACU